GACGAACGCUGGCGGCGUGCUUAACACAUGCAAGUCGAACGGAAAGGCCCUGCUUUUGUGGUGUGCUAGAGUGGAGCACGGGUGAGAAACACGGGAGUAAUCUGCCCUUGACUUUGGUAUACCUUCAGGACACGGGGGCUAAUACCGGAUAGGAGCUCCUGAUGCAUGGUGGGGGUUGGAAAGUUUCGGCGGGUGGGGAUGGACUCGCGGCUGAUCAGCUGGUUGGUGGGGUAGUGGCUUACCAAGGCUUUGACGGGUAGCCGGCCUGGGAGGGUGACCGGCCACAUGGGGACUGGGAUACGGCCCGGACUCCUACGGGGGGCAGCGGUGGGGAAUAUGGCACAAGGGGCGGAAGCCUGAUGCAGCAAGGCCGCGUGGGGGAUAACGGCCUUCGGGUUGUAACCCGUUUUCGCCUGGGACGAAGCGUGUGUGACGGUAACGUGUAAAGAAGCACCGGCUAACUACGUG
rnacentral:rRNA from 1 species